rnacentral:rRNA from 1 species
GACGAACGCUGGCGGCGUGCUUAACACAUGCAAGUCGAACGGAAAGACCCUGCUUUUGUGGGGUGCUCGAGUGGCGAACGGGUGAGUAACACGUGAGUAACCUGCCCUUGACUUUGGGAUAACUUCAGGAAACUGGGGCUAAUACCGGAUAGGAGCUCCUGCUGCAUGGUGGGGGUUGGAAAGUUUCGGCGGUUGGGGAUGGACUCGCGGCUUAUCAGCUUGUUGGUGGGGUAGUGGCUUACCAAGGCUUUGACGGGUAGCCGGCCUGAGAGGGUGACCGGCCACAUUGGGACUGAGAUACGGCCCAGACUCCUACGGGAGGCAGCAGUGGGGAAUAUUGCACAAGGGGCGGAAGCCUGAUGCAGCAACGCCGCGUGCGGGAUGACGGCCUUCGGGUUGUAAACCGCUUUCGCCUGUGACGAAGCGUGAGUGACGGUAAUGGGUAAAGAAGCACCGGCGAACUACGU